CCAGCUGGGCUCCCCUCAGUCUGUGGCUGGCGUCCCCUUCCCCUCUCCCGCCCACGAGUCCUCUCCUCCCGGGCUUCCUCUCCUUGGCUGCCGGCCCGUCCCCACAACUGGGAGGGAUGCAUCCCUGGCAGGCGGGGUCUGCGGACCCGUACAGGGCAGCUGGGGCUGGGGCUGGGGAUGGCCUCUGAGCGGGGCUGCAGCCCGCGACUCCGGGUCUGCCCUGGUCUUCCUUUCCCGCUCCCUGAGGAACAUCUCAGUGGCGUCUGCGCUGCUCCCUGGGCUGAGAGUCUCCGGCUUAAAGCCCAGCUUCUGGUGGAGUCGGGAAAAGGGAUCCUCAGUGCCAAGCGAGCUUCUGUCUCCUCCCUCAGUGUUUCUGCCUCAGGGUGAAACGUAUGACCAUCGAUUUUAAAAAGACAGUUACAUUCCCUAACUAGCCCAGCCCAGCUUGGGUGUGUUAACAGGAACAGCACCACCAGAGGCGUUGGAGACCCAGGGACAUUCCAGUCCUAAAGAGCUCCUGGCACAGUUUGGUUUGUUUUGGUUUUUUCUUUUUCUUAAAUUGUGGGGCAGACUAAGUAGUAUAGAGGGAAAAAUAAUUGUCAAGAAAUAUUUUUUCAUAUAACAGCUUUAUUGUGACAUUGUUCACACACCAUGAAGUCCAUCCAUUUAAAUGGUACAAUUCAGCAGCUUUUAGCAUAUUCACAGUUGUGCAACAAUUAUUAUUCCAGAACGUUUUCAUCACAUCAGAAAGACCAGUGGAAAUGAAUGACCUAUCCACCCCUCCCCAGUGGUGGUUCUAAAGAAGUUUCUUAGGUCAUAUGGGCCUCUGUCCCAGGACUGACUGCAGCCUUUUCUUCCCUGGUCAACAUUUCCUGUGCCUUUCAGAAGUUGGUCUCUUCUCUGCAAUUGAACCCUGGCAGAUGUGAUGGUGGUCAGCAUGCUGGGGGGCAGUCACUUGGGGCUCCCAGGAAACAUGCUGAUUCUCCUGAGUCUCUCAUUCGGGGUUACAGAACUGUCGUGCACCGGAGGAAGCCCAUUCAGUACGUUUUGGUUACUGAGACCCUCGAAUUCCCAUAUGAAUUGUAGUAGCAGCUUUUUGCAGAUGUGCCUGCUGGGAUUGUAAUCGAAACCACGUUGUAUGUAUGGAUCGCUCUGGGGAGCACUGCCAUUCCAAGAGCGCUGUCUUCUGAUCCAGGAAUGUGCGCGGUGUGUCUGUCCAGGUGAUACUGCUAUUGUUGCUGCCUGUGCCCUACCCCCAGCCUUGGUUUUGGAGUUGAGUGCCCUCACCUCCAGUGGCAUCCAUCCAGACACCAGCACUGACACUGGCCGUGCUCAGAACUGCCUCAGCCCUGAAGACACAACUGACAAAUAGAAGGGGGCCACGCCCUGUUACAGCAGGUGCUCUCAAUUUGUGGGUCCUUAUGUAACUGCAUGUUGUUAUUCAGGAUCGCCCGUUCUACAUUGUGUGGCGCUGCUGCAGUGUCUCCUAGUUAUUUGUUUCUGAUCUGAGAAGCAGGAGCAAGGAACUCAGAGAGAGAUCCAGGAAGACAUCUGACUCUGUUAAGAGACGACAGUCACAGCGACACGGGGAGUGAAGAAACUUGCAGCAAAGUAAAAUGACUUCAGAAAAAUUGCAUCAGAGCUGCAGGUGUGAGAGAGCCUAAGCCUGUCUCAGAGUGCAGGGGACAAGUGGAAAGGAAUGUGUAAGAAUGCUGGUGACUCAGAAGCAUGCUUCGAAGCUGCCCGUGUCCUUGCCAUCCAGAAGCGGAGCCUGGGAGCUUCUGAAUUUCUCCAGAAUGCGGUUUACAUUCACCUUGACAGAUACCCAGCUUUCCCUGCACUAUUCGUUGAAUAGACUAUUCUUUCAAUGGAGUGUUGUUGGCGCCCUUGUUGAAAACUGACUGUAAAUGCUCGAUGAGUUUUCACUGGAGGGAAUUGAUCUUACAGAAGAUGGACUUAACUCAGGCCUCUUCAGAAUGGACAAAUGAACCUGGAGAAAGACAGUCAAAUCUGUGCAGACAUUGAAGUUCACGUGAACGUGCUGUAUCCCUGAGCCAAAGAUCGGACAAGUAGGCAGCGCUUCUUGAGGACAGAGGAGUGGUUUUUAAGGUUCUCCAAGAAUGAAUCCCAGGGAACCGGGAUGACCAGUUGUCAAACUGUGACUUUGCUCUUUGGACGGUGUGCCCACCAAAGGAGAGGAAAACAAGUCUAAACUUACUUUCCAGUUGAAAAUGGAAUGGAGAGUUAACGUUGGAAGCCGGGAGAGUCUGUCCUGUGAUGAAGCGGUCUCCGAGCCACUUCCACUGGGACGUCACGUCACUGUCUGGGCCCCUUGCACAGCCUGUGCACAGCGUUCCUAGGAGAGAAUUCAGCAGCGCAGCAUCCUCUCCGAGCUCUAUGAGUUGAUCGGCUUCCACUGCAAGUCCGUCUUCUUCAAGUGGGUGGCCCCCGUGCAGCGCGUGGCCCCCGGCAUCCCGGACCCUGGCGGGAAGGCCUGCUACCGACUCCUUCUGCAGACGCUUCCCGGCUACAGUCUGUCACUGGAUCUGCAGGACUUCAACAAAGUGUAUGAAGGUUUUCCAUCAGACUGUUUGCUCAGCCCCUUCCUGAAUGAGGGAUUGAAUUUUCCACAGGAAAUCUUAUGCAAGAGAGUGACAAGGCACAUGGGUUUCCCAAAAGGCAAUAGUUGUUGUAAUAAACUCUCACAUUGGUGAACUUUUUGAAUACAAGCGAGUUGAAAAUUUUAUCACUAGGUCAUAUGCCACAAAUCUGUCUUAAGAAUAAAAAGAUUCAGAUUUUAUAGAAGAAGCAGUUUGAAUCAAGUAUAAAUUAUAAUUUGUACACUAGUUGGUGUUAGAACUUAUACUCACUCUUACCAUAAUUGCCUGUGGUAGGAACUGGAUCAUUAUUUAUUUAUUUAAAAAAAAAAUCCUCAAGGUUCUACUUGCCCCAUUCUUGAUGCGGCAGUGCUGAGGUUAGUUAAGUUGGGACAUUUAGAAUUCUUGGCUAGGUUUUCAGGACAUUGAUUUCAGCCUCUUUAUCUUUUUCAGAAUCUCUUCUUUGUGUCGGUCUUUGGUCUUUUGACAAUGUGGAAAUACUGCACAGAUCUGUCUUUCCCUUUUUUCCUGUCUUUAUGGGAAAAGAUUUCUGUAAGACACACUACUAGGACAUUAAGGAUUUUGUGUGGGGUAAGUUUGGUCGGCUCAAAGGAUUUCAAUUAAUAUGUAUUAAUACUUGCUAUUCAGCUAAUGAUAAGAAAAUUAUAAAAUAACUUAAGUAUACAUCAAUAAAUAUAGUACAAUAAGCCCAUCACCCAGAUUAAGGAAUUCACAAACAUUUCCAUAUUUCCUUUAUUCAGACCUUUGUUCUUUUACUUGUCCUUUGUUGAAGUAUUUGACAGCAAAUUCAAGAAAACAUGUCAUUUUACCCUAUGUACUCAAGUAGGCAUGUCUGAAAAAUGAGGGCCAUUUCUUUGGUCAGGUUUUUCCAUUUGACUUAUGUGCUCGUUAAGUACCAGCUGUAUCAGGCAUCUCACUAGGCAUUAGGAAUCCUUGGGGCAAUGAGACAGUCCUGGCUUCCAAGGAAGUUAAGGGCUGAUGGAAGAAACCAACACAGGAGCUUAGGUGCCUCACCUAAGGUCCCUGCUGGAUGACACCAAUUGGAAAAAAUUUGUGCACAAUACAGUGGGAUUCACAGAAGGGACUGGUCAGACUAGUAGGGCAGGCCGUGAGAGAGGAGGUCAGCAGGGCUACAAGAGGAGGAAUCAUUUGAUCAGAAUCUGAAAUCUUUUCUGCCAACCUUCCUACCAAGGCCCUAGGGCCCAUCACACACAACCCUGUGCUGUAACUGUUUUUGAUUCCUGUUACCAUGUCUCCUUCAGGAAGGAUUUUAAGGUGGAAAAUAUUUAAAAUCAGUAAUUGUUGCCAGAAGGGACAUAGAACAAAGAACAUGGAAACAACACAAAUGUCCAUCAGCACAUGACUGGAUAAAGACAAGGUGAUACAUAUCUACAAUGGAAUACUACUCAGCCAUAACAGAUGCAAUUUGCAGCAACAUGGAUGGACCUGAAGACUGUCAUUCUAAGUGAAGUGGGGUGAAAAGAAAGAAAAAUGCCAUAUGACUUCAUUUAUGAGGAAUCUAAAAUUAAUAGCAAUAAUAAUAAGACCACAAAUGAACUAAUUGUUAUUUUGAUUUCUUGAAUAUGCUUAAGCACAUCUGACUGUCCUUUGUGAUUGGAUUACCAUAUUCUGUUUAUUAUUCUUUUGUAGUUGGCUUUAUUCCUCUGGUAACUAUGUAAGUUUAAAAAUCUGAAACUCUAAUCUGUUCUUAGAAACAAUAAUUAGUACAUAUAUGUAACUAAAACAUGCAGUAUACUCUAUACAUGUAUUUACAUGCAAUGUGUAUGUGGAGUUGAACUGUAAUAAUUAUACCUAAUAAUA